CCCUUAGAUGUUCUGGGCCGCACGCGCGCUACAAUGGCAGACUCAGCGAGUUACCUCUGUCGAAAGGCACAGGGAAUCUUUACAGUAUCUGCCGUGAUGGGGAUAGACCCUUGUAAUUUUUGGUCUUCAACGAGGAAUUCCUAGUAAACGCAAGUCAUUAACUUGCAUUGAUUAUGUCCCUGCCCUUUGUACACACCGCCCGUCGCACCUACCGAUUGAAUGGUCCGGUGAAGUCCUCGGACCCAGUUGAACCUCGAGUUGAACAGGGAAAGUUGACUAAAUCUUACCAUUUAGAGGAAGGUGAAGUCGUAACA
rnacentral:rRNA from 1 species